rnacentral:rRNA from 1 species
UACAGAGGUCUCAAGCGUUGUUCGGAUUCAUUGGGCGUAAAGGGUGCGUAGGCGGCGCGGUAAGUCGGGUGUGAAAUCUCGGAGCUUAACUCCGAAACUGCAUUCGAUACUGCCGUGCUUGAGGACUGGAGAGGAGACUGGAAUUUACGGUGUAGCGGUGAAAUGCGUAGAUAUCGUAAGGAAGUCCAGUGGCGAAGGCGGGUCUCUGGACAGUUCCUGACGCUGAGGCACGAAGGUCAGGGGAGCAAACGGG